UGAGCAACCUGCCCUUAGCUUUGGGAUAACCCUCGGAAACGGGGGCUAAUACCGGAUAUUCACUGCUUCGCGCAUGUGGGGUGGUGGAAAGUUUUUCGGCUGGGGAUGGGCUCGCGGCCUAUCAGCUUGUUGGUGGGGUGAUGGCCUACCAAGGCGAUGACGGGUAGCCGGCCUGAGAGGGCGACCGGCCACACUGGGACUGAGACACGGCCCAGACUCCUACGGGAGGCA
rnacentral:rRNA from 1 species